rnacentral:rRNA from 1 species
UACGUAGGGCGCAAGCGUUGUCCGGAAUUAUUGGGCGUAAAGAGCUCGUAGGCGGUUUGUCGCGUCUGCUGUGAAAACCUAAGGCUCAACCUUGGGCUUGCAGUGGGUACGGGCAGACUAGAGUGCGGUAGGGGUGACUGGAAUUCCUGGUGUAGCGGUGGAAUGCGCAGAUAUCAGGAGGAACACCGAUGGCGAAGGCAGGUCACUGGGCCGCAACUGACGCUGAGGAGCGAAAGCAUGGGGAGCGAACAGGA